GACGAACGCUGGCGGCAUGCCUAAUACAUGCAAGUCGAGCGAACAGAUGAAGUGCUUGCACUUCUGACGUUAGCGGCGAACGGGUGAGUAACACGUAAGGAAUCUACCUAUAAGCGGGGGAUAACAUUCGGAAACGGGUGCUAAUACCGCAUAAUAUCUUCUUCCGCAUGGAAGAAGAUUGAAAGACGGCUCUGCUGUCACUUAUAGAUGACCUUGCGGUGGAUUAGUUAGUUGGUGGGGUAACGGCCUACCAAGACGAUGAUGCAUAGCCGACCGGAGAGGGUGAUCGGCCACAUUGGGGCUAGGCCACGGCCCAAACUCCUACGUGAGGCAGCAGUAGGGAAUCUUCCGCAAUGGGCGAAAGCCUGACGGAGCAAUGCCGCGUGAGUGAAGAAGGCCUUCGGGUCGUAAAACUCUGUUAUAAGAGAAGAACAAAUUGUAGAGUAACUGCUACAGUCUUGACGGUAUCUUAUCAGAAAGCCACGGCUAACUACGUGCCAGCCGCCGCAGUAA
rnacentral:rRNA from 1 species